rnacentral:snRNA from 1 species
UGGAACCACAGUGUUCCGCGCUG